GACGAACGCUGGCGGCGUGCCUAACACAUGCAAGUCGAGCGAAUGAAGUUCCUUCGGGCCUGGAUUUAGCGGCGGACGGGUGAGUAACACGUGGGCAACCUGCCUCAUAGAGGGGAAUAGCCUUCCGAAAGGGAGAUUAAUACCGCAUAAGAUUGUAGUAUCGCAUGAUACAGCAAUUAAAGGAGCAAUCCGCUAUGAGAUGGGCCCGCGGCGCAUUAGCUAGUUGGUGAGGUAACGGCUCACCAAGGCGACGAUGCGUAGCCGACCUGAGAGGGUGAUCGGCCACAUUGGGACUGAGACACGGCCCAGACUCCUACGGGAGGCAGCAGUGGGGAAUAUUGCACAAUGGGGGAAACCCUGAUGCAGCAACGCCGCGUGAGUGAUGACGGCCUUCGGGUUGUAAAGCUCUGUCUUCAGGGACGAUAAUGACGGUACCUGAGGAGGAAGCCAUGGCUAACUACGUG
rnacentral:rRNA from 1 species